CAAGCAUGCAGAGUGCAUCUACCUGGGCCACUUCAGUGACCCCAUGUACAAGUGCGAGUGCCAGACUGGCUAUGCAGGUGAUGGGCUCAUCUGCGGGGAGGACUCAGACCUGGACGGUUGGCCCAACAGCAACCUGGUGUGUGCUACCAAUGCCACCUACCACUGCGUCAAGGACAACUGCCCCAAACUGCCAAAUUCUGGGCAGGAGGAUUUUGAUAAGGACGGAAUCGGAGAUGCUUGCGACGAGGACGAUGAUAACGACGGCGUGAGCGAUGAGAAGGACAAUUGCCCACUUCUCUUCAAUCCCCGCCAAUUAGACUAUGAUAAGGAUGAGGUUGGAGACCGCUGUGACAAUUGCCCCUAUGUGCACAACCAAGCACAGAUCGACACGGACAACAACGGUGAAGGGGACGCCUGCUCUGUGGAUAUCGACGGGGAUGAUGUUUUCAAUGAGCGAGACAAUUGCCCGUAUGUCUACAACACUGACCAGAGAGACACAGACGGUGACGGCGUUGGGGACCACUGUGACAACUGUCCUCUGAUGCAUAACCCAGAUCAGAUGGAUCAGGACAAUGAUCUCGUUGGAGACCAGUGUGAUAACAAUGAGGACAUAGAUGAUGACGGCCACCAGAACAACCAAGACAACUGCCCAUACAUCUCCAACUCCAACCAGGCUGACCAUGACAAUGACGGCAAGGGGGAUGCCUGUGACUCCGAUGAUGACAACGAUGGUGUUCCAGAUGACAGGGACAACUGCAGGCUUGUGUUCAACCCCGACCAGGAAGACUCGGAUGGUGGGUGCCACCCUUCCUCGGCAAACCACAUGAGCAGUCCUGCAGAGAUGGCUGGUCUUCUGUCUAGCCUGCUGGAAGUCUCUGCUUCUUCUUGUGUGCCUAUUAUUCUUUUUUAUAUACUUU
rnacentral:lncRNA from 1 species